rnacentral:rRNA from 1 species
AUUGAACGCUGGCGGCAUGCUUUACACAUGCAAGUCGAACGGUAACAGGCCUUCGGGUGCUGACGAGUGGCGAACGGGUGAGUAAUGCAUCGGAACGUGCCCAAUCGUGGGGGAUAACGUAGCGAAAGUUACGCUAAUACCGCAUAAGCCCUGAGGGGGAAAGUGGGGGACCGCAAGGCCUCACGCGAAUGGAGCGGCCGAUGUCAGAUUAGCUAGUUGGUGGGGUAAAGGCCCACCAAGGCGACGAUCUGUAGCGGGUCUGAGAGGAUGAUCCGCCACACUGGGACUGAGACACGGCCCAGACUCCUACGGGAGGCAGCAGUGGGGAAUUUUGGACAAUGGGCGCAAGCCUGAUCCAGCCAUGCCGCGUGAGUGAAGAAGGCCUCGGUUGUAAGUACGU